ACCCACUGCUGUCCGUUCCCACCAGUGCUCUCCAAGUCCAGGGUGCCUUCAGGGACACUGCAGUGGCUCUUUCUUUUCUUCUGUUUUCCACCCAGCAGACAGAUCAAGCUUUUAUAAGUGAACAUCAGAUGAUGUCACGCAAUUGCUUGUUGCCGUUUCCCCUUGCUGGUAAGGUGAGUUCCUUCCUCUGGGGGUAUAGCCCAGCAGUAGAACAUUUUCCCAUCCAUGGGAGGCCCUGGGUUGGAACCCCAGCCCCAGAAACACACACAGACACACAUAAGAUAGACUCCAAUUUUUCUUAGGUGUAACAUAUACAUGGUACGGCAUGCAGCUCGGUGAAUUUCUACACACGUACAUACAUGUAACCACACUGAGAUGAAGUUUCAGAACAAUUUCCAGGUCUGCAUGUCCUUCUACCCUUCAGAAGUGACACUGUUUGAACUUUUGAGCCAUGGAUUGGUUUUAUUUGUUCCUGAACCUCUUGUAAAUGAAAUCCUGUACUCUGUAUCCUUUGUAUCUCACUCUCUCUCAACUUUAUCUCUGUGAAAUCCAUCCUUGUUAUUGUGGGUAACAUUCCUUUUUAUUGCAAUGCAAUAUUUUAUUAGGUGAAGAUACCCUAAUUUGCUAAUCUAUUCUGCUGUUGAUGGAUAUCAAGUCUUUUUCCAGUAAAUCUGUGCUAUGGUGUGAACGUAUGUGUCCUUUCAAAAUUCAUCUCUUGGAACUUGACCCCCAAGGUGGUGGCGCUUGGAGGUAGAGCCCUUGGGAGGUAGUUAUGCCAUGAGGGUUUUUCCUUCGUGGGUGGGAUUAGCAUCCUUCUAAAAGGGUACAAGGGAACUAGCUAGCCCCCUUUGUCCCUUCCGCCACGUAAGGACACAGCAAGAGGCACUGUGUUUGUUUGCUUUUCAUUGCUAUAACCAAAAUACCUGACAGGACAACUUAAGGAAAGGUUUACGUUGGCUCAUGGUUCCAAAGGUCUCAGUUCAUGGUAGGCCAACUACAUUGCUCUGGGCCGAAGGUGAAGCACAACAUCAUGGUGGCAGGGUGUGGGGGAGGGAAGCUGCUCAGCUCAUGGCAGCCAGGAAGGAGAGAGAAGAAGGGGCCAGGAACAAGAUAGACUCCCCCAAGGCACAUUCCCAGGGACCUGAUUUCUCCAACCAUGCCCCACCUGCCGACAGUUUCCACCUCCUCCCAGUAGUUCGAAUUGUUAAUCCAUCAAAUGGAUCAAUCCACUGAUGAGGUCAGAGCCUUCAUGAUCCAAUCACUUCACCUAAGCACAACCUCUGGAUAUGGCUGCACUGGGGACCAAGUCUUCAACACAUCAACUUCGAAGGGACCUUCUGGAUUUAAACCAUGACAGGCACCAUCUUAAAGACAGAGAGUCUGAACUUCACCAGACAUGCAUCUGCUUGCACCUGGAUCUUGGACUUUCCGACAACUGGGAUUUUGAGA
rnacentral:lncRNA from 1 species